rnacentral:rRNA from 1 species
AAGGGACUGCCGGUGACAAACCGGAGGAAGGUGGGGAUGACGUCAAGUCAUCAUGGCCCUUACGGCCUGGGCUACACACGUGCUACAAUGGUCGGUACAAAGGGUUGCCAAGCCGCGAGGUGGAGCUAAUCCCAUAAAACCGAUCGUAGUCCGGAUCGCAGUCUGCAACUCGACUGCGUGAAGUCGGAAUCGCUAGUAAUCGUGAAUCAGAAUGUCACGGUGAAUACGUUCCCGGGCCUU